UUGUUCUUUGUAAUUAUUGCUAUUAAUCAGGUGGGAACAAUCAUAGAGUCUCCACUAGAUUUCUUUGAUGGUAGAUUAACAAAGAAAGAAAGGAAGACAUCUCUUGCACUCGAGCCGCUCUCUCGAUCGCACUCUUGGAGCUUACAGGUAAGAUAGGCUUUGAAAUGAUUUAUGCUUUUGUCGUGUUUCUUGCAUUAUGAAAAUAAAUAAAUCGUAGGCUCCGGUUGGAUAUUGGAUCUAUCGAGGUAGAGGGGCAAAACAAGAGCCAACAUAUAUAUUUGCAUUUGGUUUUCACAAAAGAGGGAUUAGAACUUUAGAGAAAGUUGUUUGGAUAUUGUUUUGCUCCACUUUUCUCAAUCCUUAAGUGCUUCACAUCUAAGCAUAACAUUGAUUUUCCGAAUCAUGUUUUAGAAUUGAGAUUAGUAAUGCAUUAGUAAUUCUAAUUGAAUGUAAGGAAGAUUGAUUGAUAGUAAAUUGUGUUGGCGAAAGGUUUUUCUCUGAUCUAACUUAUUUGGUUACUGAUGUUAUAUGCCUUAAUCUUUGAUCUUUUCAGGAAGCGCAAUGUUCGCGAAAUAGAAGAGAAAAAUCAACCUGGCGGGAAUAAUAAAUGGAAGAUAAAAGGAAAACACCCGAAAAACCGAGCAAACCAAAGAAGACAUUGAUUUUUAUUUUUCUUCUUUCUUUGUAAACUGAUUCCAUUAUUGAAGAUGCAACUAAACUGUGUGUGUCUAUGUUUCAGGUUUAGAUUUUAGAUCACCAAAGUUCCAACAUUUUUGUUCUGAUGAAAAUGUAAUAUUAUAAUGUUAACUAAGCUAAUAGUAUUAUUUGUUCCUUUCAAGUAAAAGUAUGAUAUAGUUAUCAUGCAUUAUAUUAUAUGAGAUAAAAUGACUUGUAGUUUUGUUAAGCCUAAGUUGUUCAUUAAUCAUUUUCGAGCAAUUUUAUUACCUUUUCUAUGUUCAUAAAACAUGUUUGAUUGGGUGUUAUGAUGAAUAUAAUUUCAAACACUCUUCUAUGAGCUUUGUUCAUGAAAAUGGGAGAUAAUCUUUCUUUUUAUUUUUUCCCUAAUUUAUUCGAGCGCCACUAAUUUCUUAACAUAUGAAGUACAAUAUAAAAUACAUCAAAAUAUCAUAUUUUAUGUAAAUAAAAUUUUAAAAAUUGUAUAAAUACAUAAUAAUUUUUUUUUUCUAGGAAAAAUAAUUCCUUCAUCUUCAAUGGCUAGCGAAUAGGCCCAUAUUAAAGGCCCAACAAGAACAAGAACAAACCCCUAAAAACACUACAGUUAUUACCUCUCUCUCUCGUUCAUCUUCUCUCUCACUCUUCUUCUCAGGCCUUUCCACCGCCGAGUGCCGAUCCCUCGCUCAACGGCACCGCCUCUAACUCUAUCUCUCUCACGCAGAUUCCAUUUACUUUGGCUCCUAAAUGUUGAUUUGGUUCUAUCUGAUAUUCUAAUUUGGGUUAUAUUUAUUUGUGUAUUGAUUUUAAUGAGUAAACUACCUUCUGAAGCACUUUGUAGUACCCUGUAAUUUAGGUUUUGGUUGCUUAAUUCCAUAGCAUUGGUAUUAUAUUGUUGUAAUAGUAGUUUCCUUUGUGUAUUCACCGAUCAAAUUUGCUUUUUUUCAAUGUUUUUGGGACAGAUUCCAUUUACUUUGACUCAUAAAUGUUGAUUUGGUUCUAUCUGAUAUUCUAAUUUGGGUUGUUUUAUUCGUGUAUUGAUUUCUUUUUCUGUCUUGUUCUUCUACUUAGUUUUAGUUUAGUUUAUCUUGUUUCUCAAACUUUUUCUUUUCUUGGUUAUCUUUAACAGAUUAUUUUUCUUAUUUGCAACCCUUCAUUCUUCUUCUUUCUAAUAUCAUCUUUGAUCUAAAAGUGAUCUUCUAAUCCAUUAUUCUUAUCAGAUCAGGAUGGGCUAUUAUGAUUACUUGAAUGUUAAAAUGCAUUCUUCAUGCAAAAUAAUAAAAUUGUUGUAGCUAUAUUUUUGGUUAAAAAAGACCAUGCAAGUUGGUCUUAGCAUAUUCUUUUUAUUUUACUCUGGUAUAUGUUUUGUAUUAUCAAUUUCUUACAUUAAAACAAAAUCUUCAUUUAAGAAAGAUGCUUGAAGGAUGGAUUA